rnacentral:rRNA from 1 species
AACGAACGCUGGCGGCAUGCCUAACACAUGCAAGUCGAACGAGACCCUCGGGUCUAGUGGCGCACGGGUGCGUAACGCGUGGGAACCUGCCUUUAGGUUCGGAAUAACUCAGAGAAAUUUGAGCUAAUACCGGAUGAUGUCUUCGGACCAAAGAUUUAUCGCCUUUAGAUGGGCCCGCGUUGGAUUAGCUAGUUGGUGGGGUAAAGGCCUACCAAGGCGACGAUCCAUAGCUGGUCUGAGAGGAUGAUCAGCCACACUGGGACUGAGACACGGCCCAGACUCCUACGGGAGGCAGCAGUGGGGAAUAUUGGAAAAUGGGCGAAAGCAUGAUCCAGCAAUGCCGCGUGAGUGAUGAAGGCCUUAGGGUUGUAAAGCUCUUUUACCCGAGAUGAUAAUGACAGUAUCGGGAGAAUAAGCUCCGGCUAACUCCGUG